CAGCCGAGCGGUAUUUCUUCUUCGGGAGAGAGAGAGCGGCGUACGGGUGCGGAACACGUGUGCAACCUGCCUUUAUCUAGAGGAUAGCCUUUCGAAAGGAAGAUUAAUACUCUAUAAUAUAUUAAUUGGCAUCAAUUGAUAUUGAAAACUCCGGUGGAUAGAGAUGGGCACGCGCAAGAUUAGCUAGUUGGUGAGGUAACGGCUCACCAAGGCAAUGAUCUUUAGGGGGCCUGAGAGGGUGAUCCCCCACACUGGUACUGAGACACGGACCAGACUCCUACGGGAGGCAGCAGUGAGGAAUAUUGGUCAAUGGGUGCAAGCCUGAACCAGCCAUCCCGCGUGAAGGAUUAAGGUCCUAUGGAUUGUAAACUUCUUUUGUAUAGGGAUAAACCUACCCUCGUGAGGGUAGCUGAAGGUACUAUACGAAUAAGCACCGGCUAACUCCGUGCCAG
rnacentral:rRNA from 1 species